UCAGGAUAGCUCAGUUGGUAGAGCAGAGGACUGAAA
rnacentral:tRNA from 6 species